GCCGCUGUAGCUCAGUUGGCAGAGCGCCCGCCUUGUAAGCGGAAGGUCAGGGGUUCGAGUCCCCUCAGCGGCUCCA
rnacentral:tRNA from 2 species